rnacentral:lncRNA from 1 species
ACUGCUCAAGUAAGUUUCAAGCUUGACUGUUGUAUUUUACUUUAUCAUUAGGAUACUUUAGUUUAAAAUGUAAUAAACUGAAAGUGGGAAAAUUUCUAUUGCCAUGGUUAUUUUGAUAUAUUUAGAGCUUGCUUGUUUAAGAUUAAAAUUAAUCUAUUCUAAUGUUGUGUACAAAUGGGUCAUUGUUUGGUUACAAUUAUAAAAACUUUCAAUAAUAGCUUCUUUAAAUAGUAGCUUCUUUAAAUAGAAGUCACUCAUAGUAGCUUCUUUAAAUAAUAAAAAACCAAUUUUUUGGAUUAUGAUUUUCUUCAACAGCUUAUACAAUACAAGCAAACAUGCUAAGAUUUUGCAAGUUAUUUUUAUUUUCCAACAAAGGAGGUCGAAAUNAAAAAAAAAAGAAAUAAACCACUCACCCAUAUUAACAGUUUUUUUUUUUUAAAGGCAAACUUUUAUUUGAUUUUAUACAAUUUUUCUUAUUGUAAAACGCUACACAGAUAAAUUACCAAAAUUUAAAUAGUUAAAACUUGCUAUAUGGUACUUCCUUUUUUAUUUGUUGGUAAAAACACAUUCAUAUGACUGAAUGCGGACUUUUUGUGCAGGUUAAACUGCAAUUCUUGUUGAAGGUGAGGUUCCAUCACAAGAAAUGAUGUUGAAACUAGAGGUGGGCUGUUUUGUUGUAUCAUCGAUGCCAAACAGUUUUUUGACCAGGACAUGUACAUACUCCAUGUGGGAUUCUCUUGAUAAGGUCUCAUUUUGAUUUGACUGGAGAUCUUUCACCUUUUCUUUUGGUGUGCUUGUUAGUGCAGGUAUCUAGUUGAAACUCGUUACUUAGAGAAGAAUUUUCAUGCCAAAUCUGGUUAUGUGUAUAAUAUAGAAUCGCCAAUUUAAUGUCAAACAUGUUGUUAUCAACUUCUUCCCUUUUAAUAUGUGCUGCAUUGCAUCACUCUAGGUAGGUACUUUUACCUUCUAAAAACACCAAUGUGGUUUCUUAUAUUUACCCCAACAUAUUCACUUUAAGUAGCAUGCAUAAAUAGCAGAAUAGUUAGUUGCUUCAGUUCCUAAGUUAAGAAUUAACCAGAAGUUAACAUUGAUAGGUUUUUUAACUUUGUUUUCUAUUAGUGCAUGUUUGGUACGAUGACAAAUUUGUCAUAUUGCAAAAGCUACUACGAAGUGUAGCUUUUAUACAAUCACAGUGGCUCACUGUAAUUUCAGCACUGUGAUGUCAAACAUGCACUGAGUAAAUUAGAAAUAAGAAACAUCCAGUGGAGGAAAAUUGUUUGAGCCAUAUUUGCAAUAACUCGGCAGGCCUAAAAUUUAAGAAUAAAUAAAUUAAACUUUCCUUGGUUAUGGAGUAUGAUUGUUGUGGAGACAUUUUUUUAUUGUACAAGAUAUUACAUGAUCUGCAUGUGUGUCAUGUGAAAAGGUGAUGUUAACCAAUGCAUCAAUAAAUGUUGAUUAUAUGACCCAAUCAGUUCUUGGAACUCUAUGGUGGCGAGAUCUUUUGAACUCUUCCUUGAUACAAACAGCCAUUUCUUUUAGUUAAGCAUGACAAAACUACUUUCAUGUUUGAAUUUUCCUGCUUUUUAUGAUGUAUGAGCCAUUUCUAUAUGUCUCUGCUGCUUAGUGGCUCAUCUUGCGUCACUGGGGACUUGCUAUUGCUGCCUGCUCCCUCCGGUUAAAUUCAUUGAAAAACUAAUGUAUCUGUCUAAUAAUGUAUAUACAUCCAGAUACAUUAGUUUUUCAAUGAACUUAAAAAGUAAUUUUUUUUGCUUAUAAUAGUGACCGGAGGGAGUACCAAAUACAGCUGUUCCUUGGUGUGAUGAAUAGGCUGCUACAAGAUUAUU